GUGCUUACUUCGACAGCACAUACAAUAAAACUGGAAUGAUACAGAGAAGAUAAGCAAAGUCCCUGAGCUAGAAGGACAGGCAAAUUCAUGGAGCAUUCUAUAUAUUA
ensembl:snRNA U6 U6 spliceosomal RNA